rnacentral:lncRNA from 1 species
AGGGGAAAUCAAACGCCAAUGAAGUGACGAUGGAGUUGGCAAACACGGUCAAAUUAUCUGCUGACGCUCUUAAGUUUUGAUUGCAUCAAGUGAGAAUCUCUUUUCUAACUAAAUCUAAAAUAUAAAAUAAGGAAAGGAGCGAGUAUUCCCUGCGGUUGCAAGAGGUCUGCAAUUCCAUUAAUUUUUCCUGUGUGUGGAAAGUGUUCGAAGUUAAAGGUUGAAAUGGGCGCCAGAAAUGGAAGCAAUUUGAAUGUCAUUAGGCGGAGCAGCAUCCCAAGACAAUCAAAAAAUCCACGCAUGGAGACACGGAAGCAGGAAACCGGAUGCUGAAUGCCGAAUGCCAAAUGCCGAAUCCGAAACCGAUGACAACACCGAAAAAACAAACGCAAGAGGCAGAGAAAAUAAAGAAAGGUAUAAAUAAAACUUCAUAUCUGAUUGAAUAAUAAUGUGUGCUUAAGGAUUUAAUGCGCUGCCGGCAGCUGCUCGAGGCCCCAGGACGACUCUCUGGGAAGCUCCCAAUGGGGGAAAAAACAACGACGACAACAAAAUGUUAAAUUACAAUACCAUGAACGGCAGAGAAAGGCGACACACGGCCAGUGGGGAAUUUUGUUUGCCUCGAUGCUGAUUGCCAAAAAAAGAACGAAUAAAAAUAAAACAACACGAAAAAGGAAGAGAACAGAAAGCAUACAACAGAAAGCAGGCCAGAUCCUGGCUAGCAGGGGCAAACAAUUGAAUUUCCUUAUAGCACGUUUUCAAAUUAACCCAGCAGCCCAGCCCAAACCCCAAUAUGCAUAUGUGGGUUCCCUGGGUUCCUGGUCCUGGUCGUGGCCCCACGGGGAUUGGGUGUCAAGCUUAUUUGAAUUUCAAAUACAAUUUCGUGUUGGUACCCUUUGCGAAACUAUCAUCAUUAGCAGCACAUUUAGGCAGACAGCACCAGCCGCAAACUUAUCCUUUUGGCAAAGGAAGAAUCCGGUACUUACUGUAUAAUAGGACGAUGAUUAUAACUAAGAAAUAAAGCAACUACUUCCAUUUGCUUCCUAUGAAAAGUCGGACUUAAUCGUUUAUGCUACAGGAAUUUUGUACAUGCAUUUGGAAAAUAAAAGUCAUAAUCGCAGCUUUGCUUCAAGCAAUCAAUUCAAUGAGAUGCCAAACUGCAGCAACAACCACAAAGCCAAAUGACACUGAAUGGAAAACACAAUUGCUAAUAGGAAUAAACGAAAUUAAUGUUAAUAUUUGCAGCAAAGGAGUGCUUCAAGACAUACUUGGGUCUGGGCACAUUUUUUUCGAAUUCUCCCAGCAUAUUGGGAGAGGGCUGGUAGCGUGCCACAACGUAAUUGACACCAGAUUUGGUUUCCUUACCUAUCCCCAUUUUGGUGGAGGCCUUCCACACGAGGGCCGUGAAGUGACCGGUUUCUAAAGAGAAACCUGGCAUAUUGAAAUCGUAUUGGGAUAUUUCAUCAUACCACAUUUUUACACAAGAAGUCGCCUCAUCCCCGGUGUAGCAUAAGUUCUCACCAAACCCUUUUUGUUUCGAGUGCUCCAAUGUACCCCUUGCGGCCAAUAUCUG